UGGGGAAUAUUGCACAAUGGGCGCAAGCCUGAUGCAGCCAUGCCGCGUGUGUGAAGAAGGCCUUCGGGUUGUAAAGCACUUUCAGCGAGGAGGAAGGUGGUGAACUUAAUACGUUCAUCAAUUGACGUUACUCGCAGAAGAAGCACCGGCUAACUCCGUGCCAGCAGCCGCGGGUAAUACGGAGGGUGCAAGCGUUAAUCGGAAUUACUGGGCGUAAAGCGCACGCAGGCGGUUUGUUAAGUCAGAUGUGAAAUCCCCGGGCUCAACCUGGGAACUGCAUUGAAACUGGCAAGCUAGAGUCUCGUAGAGGGGGCAGAAUUCCAGGUGUAGGCGGUGAAAUGCGUAGAGAUCUGGAGGAAUACCGGUGGCGAAGGCGGCCCCCUGGA
rnacentral:rRNA from 1 species